rnacentral:rRNA from 1 species
AUGCGGCAUCGUGGGAGAGAUCGUGGGUGGUUUCUUUAUUCGGAAGGGCGAAACGUCCGCCCCCUCCCUCUUUAUAAGCAGGGGAAACAGGGGCAGUUCACCCACUUUGCCGGUUGCUACUCCAUUCUCGUAAAUCUCCGCCACUCCCCUCCUUCUUCUCAAAGCCGAAAGAGAGCAGCGCUCCGCCCCUCAUUGCCACCGAUGCCACCGACGCCGUCGAUCUCCCUCGCCACCUCCGCCAUGGCUCCGAAAGCCGACAAGGGGAAGGGCGUGAAAUCGGUCGUGGCGCUGUGGCUCGCGGCGCUGCGGAAGGAGCAGGCCGUCUUCCCCCCUCAACUUGACGCAAAAGAGAUGAGGGAGUACUACUACCUCUUCUAG